AGUGAACGCUGGCGGUAGGCCUAACACAUGCAAGUCGAACGGCAGCACAGUAAGAGCUUGCUCUUACGGGUGGCGAGUGGCGGAAGAGAGAGGAAUACAUCGGAAUCUACUUUUUCGGGGGGGUUAACGAAGGGAAACUUACUCCAAUACCGCAUACGACCUACGGGUGAAAGCAGGGGAUCUUCGGGCCUUGCGCGAUUGAAUGAGCCGAUGUUGGAUUAGUUAGUUGGCGGGGUAAAGGCCCACCAAGGCGACUAUACGUAGCUGGUGUGAGAGGAUGGUAGGCCACACGGGAAGGGGAACAGCGUCCAUGGUCCUACGGGAGGGAGCAGAGUGGUAUGUGGGACAGAAGUGGCGAACCUUGUCCAACGAUACCGCGUGGGUGGAGAAGGCCUUCGGGUUGUAAUGCCCUUUUUUUGGGAGAGAAAAGCUGCAGGCUAAGACCCCGCUGUUCUGACGGUACCCAAUGAAUAAGCACCGGCUAACUACGUG
rnacentral:rRNA from 1 species